UACAUGGGGUGCAAACGUUGCUCGGAAUCAUUGGGCGUAAAGCGCACGUAGGCGGUUUGUUAUGUCGGAUGUGAAAGCCCUCGGCUCAACUGAGGAAGUGCAUCCGAAACUGGCAAGCUAGAGUAUGUAAGAGGGUCGCGGAAUUCCCGGUGUAGAGGUGAAAUUCGUAGAUAUCGGGAGGAACACCGGUGGCGAAGGCGGCGACCUGGGACAAUACUGACACUGAGGUGCGAAAGCGUGGGGAGCAAACAGG
rnacentral:rRNA from 1 species